rnacentral:lncRNA from 1 species
UUAGGUUAUUUUAUUUGGUAUUUCCUUUUGUAAUAUUAGGAGCCAUUCAUUAUAAAUACCUUUAGUUCCAACAGAAUUAGCCACCUAAUAUUAAUCAGAGAAAAAGAUUAUUUAGAAAAUAUGACUCAACAUAGACCAUGGGGUAAUUUUCCUCUUUGCAUCAUGAUUUCCAUUGAAAUAUAUCUGUAGUGCUAAUUAUAGAAAUUGUAGGAAUCCCACAGAGAGCUUUAUUGGAAUCAAAACUAUACACUCUGAGUUGUAUGUCUAUAAGCUAAUGCAUAGCAGAUCACCAUUUUGAUUAUAUUGGCUAAUGUGUAUCUCUGUAGUAUCUUUAAAGAAA